rnacentral:rRNA from 1 species
CACUGCCGAGAAAAGCCUCUAGAUAGAAAAUAGGUGCCCGUACCGCAAACCGACACAGGUAGUCAAGAUGAGAAUUCUAAGGUGAGCGAGCGAACUCUCGUUAAGGAACUCGGCAAAAUGACCCCGUAACUUCGGGAGAAGGGGUGCUCUUUAGGGUUAACGCCCAGAAGAGCCGCAGUGAAUAGGCCCAAGCGACUGUUUAUCAAAAACACAGGUCUCUGCUAAACCGUAAGGUGAUGUAUAGGGGCUGACGCCUGCCCGGUGCUGGAAGGUUAAGAGGAGUGGUUAGCUUCUGCGAAGCUACGAAUCGAAGCCCCAGUAAACGGCGGCCGUAACUAUAACGGUCCUAAGGUAGCGAAAUUCCUUGUCGGGUAAGUUCCGACCCGCACGAAAGGCGUAACGAUUUGGGCACUGUCUCAACGAGAGACUCGGUGAAAUCAUAGUACCUGUGAAGAUGCAGGUUACCCGCGACAGGACGGAAAGACCCCGUGGAGCUUUACUGUAGCCUGAUAUUGAAAUUCGGCACAGCUUGUACAGGAUAGGUAGGAGCCUUUGAAACGUGAGCGCUAGCUUACGUGGAGGCGCUGGUGGGAUACUACCCUAGCUGUGUUGGCUUUCUAACCCGCACCACUUAUCGUGGUGGGAGACAGUGUCAGGCGGGCAGUUUGACUGGGGCGGUCGCCUCCUAAAAGGUAACGGAGGCGCUCAAAGGUUCCCUCAGAAUGGUUGGAAAUCAUUCAUAGAGUGUAAAGGCAUAAGGGAGCUUGACUGCGAGACCUACAAGUCGAGCAGGGUCGAAAGACGGACUUAGUGAUCCGGUGGUUCCGCAUGGAAGGGCCAUCGCUCAACGGAUAAAAGCUACCCCGGGGAUAACAGGCUUAUCUCCCCCAAGAGUUCACAUCGACGGGGAGGUUUGGCACCUCGAUGUCGGC